rnacentral:rRNA from 1 species
AUACGUAGGUGGCAAGCGUUGUCCGGAAUUAUUAGGCGUAAAGGGCGUGUAGGUGGAUUUUUAAGUCGUGUGUCUAAGUGCGGGGCUCAACCCCGUAUAGGCGCAGGAAACUGGAGAUCUUGAGUGCAGGAGAGGAAAGUGGAAUUCCCAGUGUAGCGGUGAAAUGCGUAGAUAUUGGGAGGAACACCAGUGGCGAAGGCGACUUACUGGACUGUAACUGACGCUGAAGCACGAAAGCGUGGGGAGC